UCUGGUUGAUCCUGCCUGAACUGAUGUGUUCAUUUCAAAGGUUAAGCCAUGCAUGUAUAAGUUUAAUCGUUUUAACGAGAAACCGCGAACGGCUCAUUACAAUGGCCAUGAUUUACUUGAUCUUGAUUAUCUAAAUGGAUAACUGUGGAAAAGCUAGAGCUAAUACAUACACCAAAGCUUUGUCCUCUCGGAAAAGCGCAUUUAUUAGAACAAAACCACGCGGCUUCGGCUGCUUCUUGUUGACUCAGAAUAACUAAGCUGACCGCAUGGCCUUGUGCCGGCGGCGUGUCUUUCAAGCGUCCACUUUAUCAACUUGACGGGAGCAUAAUCGACUCCCGUGGUGGUGACGGAUAACGGAGGAUCAGGGUUCGACUCCGGAGAAGGGGCCUGAGAAAUGGCCACUACGUCUAAGGAUGGCAGCAGGCGCGCAAAUUACCCACUCUCGGCUCGAGGAGGUAGUGACGAGAAAUAACGAGAUCGUUCUCUUUGAGGACGGUCAUCGGAAUGGGUACAAUUUAAACCCUUUAACGAGUAUCAAGCAGAGGGCAAGUCUGGUGCCAGCAGCCGCGGUAAUUCCAGCUCUGCUAAUACAUAGAAUUAUUGCUGCGGUUAAAAAGCUCGUAGUUGGAUUCGUAUCGAUACCUUGGAACCCUUCGGGUGUCUCUAGGUGUUAUCGAUUUAUCGUAAUGUUCGGUUUUGAGUCCUUAACAGGAUUCUUAACAGGCAUUGCAAGUUUACUUUGAACAAAUCAGAGUGCUUCAAACAGGCGUUUUCGCUUGAAUGAUCGUGCAUGGAAUAAUAGAAAACGAUUUCGGUUCAGUUUUAUUGGUUUUACGGACUGAGAUAAUGGUUAACAGAGACAAACGGGGGCAUUUGUAUGGCCCCGUGAGAGGUGAAAUUCUUGGACCGUGGCCAGACAAACUACAGCGAAAGCAUUUGCCAAGAAUGUCUUCAUUAAUCAAGAACGAAAGUCAGAGGUUCGAAGGCGAUCAGAUACCGCCCUAGUUCUGACCGUAAACGAUGCCAACUAGCGAUCCGCCGAUGGAAAUUAUAUUGCCUUGGUGGGGAGCUUCCCGGAAACGAAAGUCUUCCGGUUCCGGGGGAAGUAUGGUUGCAAAGCUGAAACUUAAAGGAAUUGACGGAAGGGCACCACCAGGAGUGGAGCCUGCGGCUUAAUUUGACUCAACACGGGGAAACUCACCCGGCCCGGACACUGUGAGGAUUGACAGAUUGAUAGCUUUUUCAUGAUUCAGUGGAUGGUGGUGCAUGGCCGUUCUUAGUUCGUGGAGUGAUUUGUCUGGUUUAUUCCGAUAACGAGCGAGACUCUAACCUACUAAAUAGCUGGUACAUAAUUUAAGUGUAUACAGCUUCUUAGAGGGAUUUGCGGUGUUCAGCCGAAAGAAAUUGAGCAAUAACAGGUCUGUGAUGCCCUUAGAUGUCCGGGGCUGCACGCGCGCUACACUGGCAAAAUCAACGUGCUUGUCCUACCCCGAAAGGGGCGGGUAAACCAUUGAAAAUUUGCCGUGAUUGGGAUCGGAAAUUGCAAUUAUUUUCCGUGAACGAGGAAUUCCAAGUAAGUGCGAGUCAUCAGCUCGCGUUGAUUACGUCCCUGCCCUUUGUACACACCGCCCGUCGCUGCCCGGGACUGAGCCAUUUCGAGAAAUUUGGGGACCGUUGAUUUAAUUUUUCUAAAUUACUUUGAUGGAAACCAAUUUAAUCGCAGUGGCUUGAACCGGGCAAAAGUCGUAACAAGGUAGCUGUAGGUGAACCUGCUGCUG
rnacentral:rRNA from 1 species